ensembl:lncRNA
AGGGAACAAUGGUGGUGCCGAGGCUCAGAAGAGGAGGAGCCAGUGGUUUAGAUAGGCUGAAAAAUUUGGUGGGAGAAACCAGGCAGGAAAAGUCAGCAUAGCCGGAUCCUAAAGAGGCUUUUUUCCUCCUGGUGGUGAGAUUGCACUUACUGCAUGUGAACCUCUGACGGGGGAAGAGUGCCUGGGGACACACCCACCGGAGGCAGCAUUGACGUCUGGGUGACACCGGGGGAGACCACAGAGGAUUUCCGAGGACUCAUGGGCAGUCCUUUCUAGACCCUGGGAAUUUAUCAGCAAAACAGAAAAAGAAUCCCUGCUCUUGUGGGGCUCACAGUCCAGCCCACCUUGGUGAUAGUGUGGGUUCAGUUCCAGACCACAGCAAGAAAGCAAAUAUCAUGUGAAAGCGAGUCACACAAAUGUUUUGCUUUCCCAGUGCAUAUAAAAGUUAUGCUUACCCUAUACUGUAAUCUAUUAAGUGUACUGUAGCAUUAUGUCUAAAAAAAGCAAUGUAUAUAAC